rnacentral:misc_RNA from 1 species
AUCAUGUAUAGAAAAUAGAAAUAUAAACAACCAGUGAAAAUUUCAUAUAUCUACAAUUAUUCGUUUUUAGAUGCGAUAAAAAGAAGAAAAAAACUUGAUUUAUGCAUUGCCUACAAGAGGCGGAAAAAACUUGUAUCAGAAAUUCUUAUGCUAAAAGAACUCAUAGUUUAUGUACGUAAUGUUAUAUUUAUUUUGCAACAUGUUGCACUAGUCCAAGAAAAGGUAUGAAGUAAAUUAUGAUAAAUCUUUAAAAUUGAUUUUUAACGCAAUUUUUGAGUAGGUGCAAUCUUUAUGUCCAUUUGGCCUUAACUGGGAAUUCAAUGUUGAAGAAUAUGUUGGUGGCAAAGGGAAACAUCUCCAAUUCAUCGUAAACGUAAAUCAUCAAUAUAUGUAUGCACUCUAGAGAGAGGAGCUGGACUGUUUCAUUGUAUGCUGGCUGAUAAUGGUCAGUUAAGUGGACGGAGGGUUGGAAUGAUUGUUGUUGAUGAAUUGCAUCUUCUCGCCGAACAAAAAAGGGGAGCUUUGUUAGAUGCAACUAUUACAAAAGUUUUAGACUCUCAGCAGUUCCUGCAUAAUAUUCAGAUAAUUGGUAUGUCAGCUACAACUGGAAAUAUGCAAGAAAUAGGUGACUUUUUAAAUGCUCACGAAUGCACAAGAGAUUUUAGACCUGUAAAGCUCACAGAAACUAUAAAAUUAAACGAACAAAUAUUUGUGAUAAAUAAAGAUGUUGAUGGUUCUUUGAAAAGUAAACUUGAUAGAAAAUUAGAUUUUGACUUUUCAGCCUGUCCUUAUACAUGUAUAUGGAAACCAAAAAUGCAGAGUUCAAUAUGGAAAGUGCAAACGUUGUGCACAUACCAACCGAUCCUCAACACACCUUGGGCUCAACUGUCUCGGAUACAGAGUCAACACAAGUAGAGGGAGUUCCAUACCGUUAAGCAGUUGGGAGUCUGUUGUACUUGAGUCAAAUAACGAGACCCGAUAUAACAUUUGCUGUUAAUUUGGUGGACCGUUAUCUAGAAAAACCUCAAAAAAGUAAUGCAGAUUAUGCUGGUGACGUAACAACAAAGAGAUCUACAUCAGGAUCAGUGUUCUGUGUUGGCAAUGGAUUAGUUGCAUGGAGCUCACGGAGACAGAAAUCAGUGUCACUUCCUACUACAGAGUCAGAGUAUAUUGCACUAAGCCAAUUCGUACAGGACCUUACCUGGUUAAUGCUAUUAAUGAGUGAUCUUCUGGAAACACAGGAAGUUAAACCAAUUAUAUAUGCAGAUAACCAGAGUGCUAUACGCCUUGUUAAAAACCCAGAAUUUCAUAAAAGAUCAAAGCAAAUCGAUGUAAGGUAUCAUUACAUCAGGGAAUCAAUA